CAGUCGCCGCGGUAAUACGUAGGGUGCAAGCGCUAAUCGGAAUUACUGGGCGUAAAGCGUGCGCAGGCGGUUUGUUAAGACAGAUGUGAAAUCCCCGGGCUCAACCUGGGAACUGCAUUUGUGACUGGCAAGCUAGAGUGUGGCAGAGAGGGGUGGAAUUCCGCGUGUAGCAGUGAAAUGCGUAGAUAUGCGGAGGAACACCGAUGGCGAAGGCAGCCCCCUGGGCCAACACUGACGCUCAUGCACGAAAGCGUGGGGAGCAAACAGGAUUAGAUACCCCAGUAGUCCCUGUCUCUUAUAC
rnacentral:rRNA from 1 species